UAAUAUAGAACAAACUAACUCAUUUUUUCAUUUUCUUUACAGGAUAUCGCUGACACUUUCGAAGGAAAUUUCAAAGAGCAAAAUGGGCUUAAUUCAAACUGGUUGCCAGUUAAUAGCGCUCAGAUACCAGAUCCUCGACCUGGAUCAUGCCAUAAUGACUCAAGAACACUGCCUGAUGCAACUCUGAAUUUCAUAAAAACACAUUCACUUAUGGACGAAAAUGUUCCGGCAUUUUUCGGACAACCAAUUUUAAUUCGAACAAGCACAAUAUACCGAUUUACACAAAUUGCUGUUGACCCACAAAUAAAAACGCCAGGAGGAAAAACUUAUGACGUCAUAUUUGUGGGAACGG